rnacentral:rRNA from 1 species
CCUACGGGAGGCAGCAGUGAGGAAUAUUGGUCAAUGGACGCAAGUCUGAACCAGCCAUACCGCGUGCAGGAAGACGGCUCUAUGAGUUGUAAACUGCUUUUGUACGAGGGUAAACGCAGAUACGCGUAUCUGUCUGAAAGUAUCGUACGUAUAAGGAUCGGCUAACUCCGUGCCAGCAGCCGCGGUAAUACGGAGGAUUCAAGCGUUAUCCGGAUUUAUUGGGUUUAAAGGGUGCGUAGGCGGUCGGAUAAGUUAGAGGUGAAAUCCCGAGGCUCAACUUCGGAAUUGCCUCUGAUACUGUUCGGCGAGAGAGUAGUUGCGGUAGGCGGAAUGUAUGGUGUAGCGGUGAAAUGCUUAGAGAUCAUACAGAACACCGAUUGCGAAGGCAGCUUACCAAGCUACUUCUGACGUUGAGGCACGAAAGCGUGAGGAGCAAACAGGAUUAGAUACCCCAGUAGUC